GACGAACGCUGGCGGUGUGCUUAACACAUGCAAGUCGAACGGUAAGGCCCUUUCGGGGGUACACGAGUGGCGCACGGGUGAGUAACACGUGAGUAACCUGCCCUCAUCUCUGGGAUAACAGUCGGAAACGGUUGCUAAUACUGGAUAUGAGCUUGCAAGGCAUCUUGUGGGUUGGAAAGAUUUUUUUUGGUCGGGGAUGGACUCGCGGCCUAUCAGCUUGUUGGUGAGGUAGUGGCUCACCAAGGCUUCGACGGGUAGCCGGCCUGAGAGGGCGACCGGCCACAUUGGGACUGAGAUACGGCCCAAACUCCUACGGGAGGCAGCAGUGGGGAAUAUUGCACAAUGGACGGAAGUCUGAUGCAGCAACGCCGCGUGCGGGAUGACGGCCUUCGGGUUGUAAACCGCUUUCAAUUGUGACGAAGCUUUUUUGUGACGGUAGCAGUAGAAGAAGCACCGGCUAACUACGUG
rnacentral:rRNA from 1 species